GACGAACGCUGGCGGCGUGCUUAACACAUGCAAGUCGAACGGAAAGGCCCUGCUUUUUUGGGGUGCUCGAGUGGCGAACGGGUGAGUAACACGUGAGUAACCUGCCCUUGACUUUGGGAUAACUUCAGGAAACUGGGGCUAAUACCGGAUAGGAGCUCCUGCUGCAUGGUGGGGGUUGGAAAGUUUCGGCGGUUGGGGGUGGACUCGCGGCUUAUCAGCUUGUUGGUGGGGUAGUGGCUUACCAAGGCUUUGACGGGUAGCCGGCAUGAGAGGGUGACCGGCCACAUUGGGACUGAGAUACGGCCCAGACUCCUACGGGAGGAAGCAGUGGGGAAUAUUGCACAAUGGGCGGAAGCCUGAUGCAGCAACGCCGCGUGCGGGAUGACGGCCUUCGGGUUGUAAACCGCUUUCGCCUGUGACGAAGCGUGAGUGACGGUAAUGGGUAAAGAAGCACCGGCUAACUACGUG
rnacentral:rRNA from 1 species